rnacentral:rRNA from 1 species
GAUAAACGCCGGCGGCGUGCCUAAUACAUGCAAGUCGAACGAGUGCAGCAAUGCACGAGUGGCGUACGGGUGAGUAACGCGUUGGGAACCUGCCCCCUCGACCGGAAUACCAGGAUGAAAAUCCUGCUAAUGCCGGAUACUGGCUCUGGACCGCAAGGUCCUCAGCUGAAAGGCGGCUUCGGCCGCGCAAGGGGAUGGUCCUGCGUCGCAUUAGCUAGUUGGCGGGAUAAAGGCCCACCAAGGCCGGGAUGCGUAGCCGAGCUGAGAGGCUAAACGGCCACAUUGGGACUGAGACACGGCCCAGACUCCUACGGGAGGCAGCAGUAGGGAGUAUUUGGCAAUGGGGGAAACCCUGACCGAGCAACGCCGCGUGCGCGAUGGAGCCCUUCGGGGUGUAAAGCGCUGUGAUGGGACUGGAACCGCCGCCGGAGGAAAUGCCGGCGGCCUGACGGCCCCUUUAGAAAGCAACUGCUAACUACGUG